CUGGGCUUGGUUCCGGAGAAGGCCAAAAGAGGAAUUUACCCAGGAAGCAAUUUGAAGGCAAAAGUCCCAUCUAAAGUGAAGGACUUUCUCCCCUACUGUGUUGACAUUGCCUUCACUGCCACCAGUGUUGAUCAAAGGUACCAGAUCUCCUGUCAAGAGACAUCAGACUGAGUGGAAGAUCUCCUUGAUACCCUUCUAAUAAAGGGUACAAAUUCUUCCCAGAGAUCCUGGACAGCAAAAACUGUUCCUUUAUGGAAUGUCACCACCUGGCACAGCCAUCUCUCACUUAAGCCAAAGAAAAUUCAAACACACCCCAAAACAGCUAGUACACUGUGGAAAAGGAAACUCUAAUGGCUUCCUGUUGUAGUUUAAAUGUAAAAUGUUCCCCACAGCCUCAUGUAUUUAAAUUGGUGAUGCCAUUUGGGAAAGCACUGUGAUCUUUAGGGGUUGCACCUUGAUGGAAGAUGUGCAUCACUGGGGGCGGGCCUUGAGAAGCCCAGCCCUACUUCCUGUUUACUCUACAUGAUUUGUGACUAUGAAUGUAAUGUGCCAGCUGUCCUCUGGCUCCAGCUGCCACACCCCCCUCUGCUGUGAUGGAGCAUAGGCCCUUGAACUGAAUAAACAACCAAGUCCCAACUCACCAAAAUCCCUUAGCAGUAAGGACUCGCCCUAUAAUAAUUUCACUAAUAAAUGUCCAUGAAAAUGGUUAAAACCUUCA